rnacentral:rRNA from 1 species
UUAAACGAAGAGGUCUGGAAAGGCCCGCCAAAGAAGGUAACAGCCCUGUAAUUGAAAGUCUGUUCUCUCCGAGACGGAUCCCGAGUAGUGCGGGGCACGUGAAACCCCGUAUGAAUCCGGCAGGACCAUCUGCCAAGGCUAAAUACUCCCUAGCGACCGAUAGUGAAGCAGUACCGUGAGGGAAAGGUGAA